UACGUAGGGAGCAAGCGUUGUCCGGAAUCAUUGGGCGUAAAGCGCGCGUAGGUGGCUUCAUAAGUCCGUUGUGAAAGUCAAAGGCUCAACCUUUGAAAGCCGAUGGAUACUGUGGAGCUAGAGUACGGAAGAGGCGAGUGGAAUUCCUGGUGUAGCGGUGGAAUGCGCAGAUAUCAGGAGGAACACCAAUAGCGAAGGCAGCUCGCUGGGACGUUACUGACGCUAAGGCGCGAAAGCGUGGGGAGCGAACAGG
rnacentral:rRNA from 1 species